rnacentral:rRNA from 1 species
UACGGGGGGAGCAAGCGUUGUUCGGAUUUACUGGGCGUAAAGGGCGCGUAGGCGGCUCGGCACGUCCGUUGUGAAAUCGCCCGGCUCAACUGGGCGGGGUCGGCGGAUACGGCCGAGCUGGAGCAAGCUAGGGGGUAAUGGAAUUCCCGGUGUAGUGGUGGAAUGCGUAGAUAUCGGGAGGAACACCAGUGGCGAAGGCGGUUACCUGGAGCUUUGCUGACGCUGAUGCGCGAAAGCGUGGGGAGCGAGUCCGG